AUUUAAGAGCUUUACUAAUUGUUUUAAAUGUCAUCCAAGUGAAAUAUCACAGUGUAAUGUUUUGACAUUUAACCAAUUUAUUAGUGGUGGUGAUAGAAGUACCCUAAUUCUUUAAAAAGAGACCCACAGUGAUAUUGCUUAUUUACUGUAGAGCUACCUAUUUCCCAGCAGUGAAGAUGCACGCGUCUAAGACGCACCCCCAUUUUGAGUCAGUAGAAACUCAUUCAAGGAGGCAAUCUGGACCGGGGAGCCUCCAUCUUCGCCUGUCCCACAAUGUGCUGUGCGGUUCAGAUCUGAGGGUCGGGGACUUCCUGGUAGAGGGACAUCGCAUAACGGAGAGAGGGUUUGGCUGUUGCACCCAGGUCUGGCCGUUGUUCCCAGCUCUGUUCGCUUGCCCAUGUUUGGCUGUUGUGCCCAGUUCGGCUUGCUUGGCCCAGGUCUGGCUGCGGUUUCCGAAGUCGGCUGUGUGCCACAGGACUGGUUGUAGCGCCCAGGUCUGCUCGCUUGCUCCAGGUCUGGCUGCCGUUCCCAGGUCGGGUCGCUUGAGUUCGGGUUACUGGCCGGAUCCGGGCCGUAGUUUGCUGACCCCUGUGUUAUGGCUCGUUGUGUGGUUCUCCCCCCUUCAAAUGUCAACAGUAUUUUGCAAAUGCUUCAUGGAAGUUGAAUGCUAAUGUAGAGUUGAUGCUCAAUUGUAAAAUUGUUGGUAAUUAGAUGUGGACCGUAGCAUUUUUUACUUUAACAAUAUUUGCGGUUGAAGCAUUUGAUUAUUAGCAGCAAGAACAUUAAAUAUUCUUGAGUGAGGCAGUCGGCCUUGUACCAGGUAUGUACAUAUCUUGGAAGCUUAUCCACCCUUCCUAGAAAAUCAUGCUUUGGUGCUUGAAAGUAUGCAAAUCUCUGCCUCCUUUAGUAGGAAUAAUGGUACAGCAGCAAUGGAAGGAAUUACUGUGGAUAAUUCGGAAGGUGCAGGAUUAUUUCAUUCCAAAGAGGAAGGAAGAUUCCGGAGGAGAAUAAGACCACCAUGGCUGACAAGGGAGGUCAAGGGCACCACAAAAGCAAGAGAAGGCAUAUAGCAUUGCAAAGAUUAGUGGGAAGCCGGAGGAUUGGGAUGCUUUUAAAGAACAAAAGGUAACUAACAAGCCAUACGGAGAGAAAAGAUGAAGUAGGAAUGCAAGCCAAUGAUAUAAGAGGAUGGCACUAGUUUCUACGGAUAUAUAAACAGUAAAAACGAGGCAAGAAUGGACUUUGGGCCGCUGGAAAAUUAAGCAGAAGUGGUAAUGAGA